UGGAGCUUGGCCAAGGGGUUCUGGGACCUGCGGCGGAGGGCUCAUGAGAACCGCCGGAAGCGCGCCGGGCGGCCCCCUCGGCGGGCCCGGGGCGCUUACUUCAUCUGGUACAGGUUGUUGGUGCCGCGGUGGUCGAUGUCGUGGCACAGGCCGGCGGUCACCAUGGCGAACGCCUCCAGUACUGAGUAAGAUUUCUUUGGAAAGUGCUGGCCAGCAGCCCCUGUUCUGCGGGAGAGCUGGGGGAAGAGGGUUCCCUCACUUGGGCUGUGGGGUGCCAGGCGCUGCCUGAGGAGUGAAGGUGCAAGCAGGGCAGAGGCCACAAAGCCACGGGAGGCAGGAAGGCCGCCCCCUCCUCCUGGGACACCUCCGAGGGGCUCUGUGCUCAAACCCACAGCAUGCCCGUGCCUCCCACGCGCUGACGGGCUGCUGCGGCCGCCUCUCCGCCAUUCCGACUCCCGCUAUUGCCCAGUGAGGCCUGAUGAUCACAUUGCCUAGAACUCCUGUUUUUUAAACUCUCCACCCAUCCAGUCAUCCAUCCAGUCAUUUUUAUUCUAGGCAUAUUUGCUGCGUGUAUUUUGCCUGUCCAUUCUGUAAUGAAAUGCCUGCCCGCAAACUUCCUGCAGGACUUGGGGCCGCUAACCACCUCUCUCCUGCCUUGUGGGGAUCUGGGACCCGGAAAUGAGUCCCCAUCCCACCUCCUGGUGGGUCUGGGACCUGCAGCCGCAACCACCCACCUCCUGGGGGAUCUGGAACUUGCGGACCACCCCCAGCUCAUAAUACAUCUGGAUGCCGCAUUUGACCAGCUCCAGCUCUGUGCACCCCAGGUCAGAGAAGUGGAACUCGUAGAUGUCGAACUUCUUGGGCCCCGGCAGCACUUCCUUCUGUGGAAGGCGUCACGGGACUGAGGAGCCGCCAACCAGCCCUUCACUUGCCCUGUCUCUUUCUCCUUCUCCCAAGGACCCUCUGUCCAGCCCCACAUGCUGCAGGUGUCCGGUGAUACCUGCCCUUCCAGUCCCUCUGGCCCGAAGCCUGGGACACCCACAUCCCCUGCUGGGUCAGCCAUCUUUCUCCCUUGCCCCCCACCCCCAGGCCCUUCCAGUACCACCUGGGGGGAGGAGCCAGCCUCUGACCAAGAUUUCCCCCAGCUCAUCCUCCUCACAGUCAGCAGGCUCCUUCCCCAGGUGCUCUUUGGUUGGCUAGGAGAGAAAACAGGUGUGAUAUGAGUCAAGGUGACAGUGCCGGCUCCACCCCUCUGACUGUGGGACAAGGUGACAGCAUCAGCUCCACCCCUCUGACUGUGGACAAGGUGACAGCGCCGGCUACACCCCUCUGACUGUGGGACAAGGUGACAGUAUCGGUUCUACCCCUCUGACUAUGGACAAAGUGACAGUGCUGGCUACACCCCUCUGUGGGCAAGGUGACAGUGUCAGCUACAACGCUCUGACUGUGGGACAAGGUGACAGUGUCAGCUACAACCCUCUGACUGUGGGACAAGGUGACAGUGCCGGCUACACCCCUCUGACUGUGGGCAUGGUGACAGUGUCAACUACACCUCUCUGACUGUGGACAAGGUGACAAUGCUGGCUACACCCCUCUGUGAACAAGGUGACGGUGAUAGCUCCACCCCUCUGACUGGGGACAAGGUGACAGUGCUGGCUCCACCCCUCUGACUGUGGACAAGGUGACAGUGCCAGCUACACCCCUCUGUGAACAAGGUGACGGUGACAGCUCCACCCCUCUGACUGGGGACAAGGUGACAGCGUCGGCUACAUCCCUCUGACUAUGGACAUGGUGACAAUAUCAACUACACCUCUCUGACUGUGGACAAGGUGACAGUGCUGGCUACACCCCUCUGCCUGUGGACAAGGUGACAGCAUUGGCUCCACCCCUCUGAUUAUGGACAAGGUGACAUCUGGCACAAAGGAAUAAUGACCCCCUUGGGAAGCCCCAGCUGGAGCCUUCAGUCUCCGAGGUGUCGGCAUUCAGCACAGACCAGCCCAGGAACUGCGUGAGGGACUGCAGAAAGCGGUGUCACCCACCCAGGGCACCAUGCACACCAGGCCCUGCGCCCUGAGUGCAGGCCCCAGGCAUGCCACUCCACUGCAGCAAGUGCUAACGGGGCCUCGGGUGCUCCCAGGAACGGGCCCACAGCCCCUCCUGUCCCCUCCCUGCCCAGGCCUCAUGCUGGGUCAGGGGAAAGCAGAUGGUGGGGAGGGAUCCCGAGUCACCGUCUCCCAUACCUUCACACGGUGUCACCCCCAGAGCCACACCUGUGACAGGUGUUUACCUCCAUGAGGACUUCAUCCUGCUCAUCAAAGGGCUUCCCAUCUUUCCUGUUGUAAAACGUUGCAACCCCCACAAUCUCCUCUUUCUUGUUGACAAUGGGCAUGGAGAGGACAUUCUUGAUGACCCACCCAGAGUCAUCCAGAGGCUCUUCCUGCAGGGAGAGGCGUGCAGAGAUGACCCUGCUCUGGGGCUGGCCCAGGCUUGUCACCCGGUGUGAGCCUCAUUUCUUCCGCUGGGUCACUGCCCCAUCUGCUCACUCCCCCUGUGCGUACAGCUUUCUGUCUGUGGGUUUGUGUGGUGUCUUCUCUCCUAGAGAAUAGGGUGUUUUCCCACCAAGGUGGCCUCAGGGUCCUGCUCUUAAGAUAGCUUGGCUGAGUGCUUCACCAUGCAUUCUGAAGCUCUUAGUAAUUGUGAACAGGGGCCUCACAUUCCUAACCCACCAGGCUCUACAAACUACGCAACUGAUGCCCAGCCUGUGAAAUAAGGACACUGUCCAGUUCCUGGUGGAGCCCUGUGAACACAAAGCCCAUUUCCUCCAGUCAGCCUGGCCUCAGCCUCCUCCAGAAAGAAGCAGCUCUGGUGACGUGUCCCCAGAGGAAAGAGCAAGGACCAGACCUGCAGCCCUGGGCCCAGCCAGCCUGCGGACCCGGACACAUGGAACGCACAUUUCUUGUUAUUAGCUACUGAGAUUUUGAGGUUGUUUCUCAAGCAGCAAAAAUCAAUUCAGUCCCUCG